rnacentral:rRNA from 1 species
CCCUUAGAUGUUCUGGGCCGCACGCGCGCUACACUGACGAAUGCAACGAGCUUAUAACCUUGGCCGAAAGGUCUGGGUAAUCUCCAAAUUUCGUCGUGAUGGGGAUAGAUUAUUGCAAUUAUUAAUCUUCAACGAGGAAUGCCUAGUAAGCGCAAGUCAUCAACUUGCGUUGAUUACGUCCCUGCCCUUUGUACACACCGCCCGUCGCUCCUACCGAUUGAAUGGUCCGGUGAAGCGUUCGGACCGUGGCCUUUGGACGGUUCGCCGUCUGUUGGCUGCGGGAAGUUCGUUAAACCUUAUCAUUUAGAGGAAGGAGAAGUCGUAACA